rnacentral:rRNA from 1 species
AUGGGAUCCGUGACGGCGUCGACGACGGCAAUGCCCGUCCUCCGUGUGGCCGCCAUCUCCGGCUCCGUCCGCAGCAACUCUUGGCACGUCGGCCUCAUCCGCGCUGCCGAGGAGCUGUGCGAGGAGUCCAUCCCGAGGCUGCGCAUCGACCACGUCGACAUCUCCAGCCUGCCCAUGGCCAACCCGGACCUUGAGACACAGGGCGGCGACGGCUUCCCACCGGCCGUGGAGGCAUUCCGCGACAGGGUCGCCGCCGACUGCUUCCUCUUCGCCUCGCCGGAGUACAACUACUCCGUCACCGGCUCUCUCAAGAACACGCUGGACUGGGGGUCGACCCACCUGCGUGAGAUCGGGAUAUACCUGACCUGCACUUCAUCAACAAGCCGGAGCUCCACAUCAGGGCGUACGAGGACCCGCCCAAAUUCGACGGCGAGGGGAACCUCAUCGACGUCCAAGCCAGGGAGCGGCUCGUGCUCCUCUCGCUGCAGGCAUUCGCGCUCAGGCUCCAACACAAGCAGGACUGACUGA